rnacentral:hammerhead_ribozyme from 1 species
AUCCAACUGACUAGUCCUAAACAGGACGAAAUGCUCAUUCUGGAC